CUACGGGGCGCAGCAGGCGCGAAANCUUUACCAUGCGGGCAACCGUGAUAAGGAAACCCCGAGUGGAUGAACAGUCAUCCUGUCCAUCAGUUUACAACGCUGGUGAAGAAAGGGCCGGGCAAGACCGGUGCCAGCCGCCGCGGUAAUACCGGCGGCUCGAGUGGUGGCCACUAUUACUGGGCUUAAAGGGUCCGUAGCUUGCAUAAUCAGCCUCUUGAGAAAUCCACUGGCUUAACCAAUGGUCGUUCAGGAGGAACUGUUAUGCUAGGGACCGGGAGAGGUAAGGGGUACUGCCGGGGUAGGAGUGAAAUCCUGUAAUCCUGGUGGGACCACCUGUGGCGAAGGCGCCUUACCAGAACGGCUCCGACAGUGAGGGACGAAAGCUGGGGGAGCGAACCGGAUUAGAUACCCGGGUAGUCCCAGCCGUAAACGAUGCGCGUUAGGUGUGUCAGUGACCACGCGUCACUGAGGUGCCGAAGGGAAACCGUGAAACGCGCCGCCUGGGAAGUACGGUCGCAAGGCUGAAACUUAAAGGAAUUGGCGGGGGAGCACCACAACAGGUGGAGCCUGCGGUUUAAUCGGACUCAACGCCGGGAACCUCACCAGAUAAGACAGCAGAAUGACAGUCGGGAUGAAGACUCUACUCGACUCGCUGAGAGGAGGUGCAUGGCCGUCGUCAGUUCGUACUGUGAAGCAUCCUGUUUAGUCAGGCAACGAGCGAGACCCACGCCAACAUUUGCCAGCUUUUCCUUCGGGAAGAUGGGGACACUGUUGGGACCGCCUCUGCUAAAGAGGAGGAAGGAAUGGGCAACGGUAGGUCAGCAUGCCCCGAAUUAUCUGGGCCACACGCGGGCUACAAUGGGCAGGACAAUGGGCGUCCUCCACCGAAAGGUGUCGGUAAUCUCCUAACCCUGUCCGAAGUUCGGAUUGCGGAUUGCAACUCAUCCGCAUGAAGCUGGAAUCUGUAGUAAUCGCGUUUCAUCAUAGCGCGGUGAAUAUGUCCCUGCUCCUU
rnacentral:rRNA from 1 species